UACGGGAGGUGCAAGCGUUGUUCGGAAUGACUGGGCGUAAAGCGCACGUAGGUGGGUUUUUAAGUCGAAUGUGAAAGCCCUGGGCUCAACCCAGGAGUUGCAUUCGAUACUGGAAAUCUUGAAUGCCUGAGGGGUUAGUGGAAUUCCAGGUGUAGGAGUGAAAUCCGUAGAUAUCUGGAGGAACAUCGGAGGCGAAGGCGGCUAACUGGCGGUGCAUUGACACUGAGGUGCGAAAGCGUGGGGAGCAAACAGG
rnacentral:rRNA from 1 species